UCGCUACUACCGAUUGAAUGGCUUAGUGAGGUCUCCGGAUUGGCUUUGGGGAGCCGGCAACGGCACCCUAUUGCUGAGAAGCUGAUCAAACUUGGUCAUUUAGAGGAAGUAA
rnacentral:rRNA from 1 species